rnacentral:lncRNA from 1 species
AUGUUUAAAUACAAGUGUUUAUCAGUUUUGACUUGUUUUGCAGUAUUGUAUCUUCUUUUGCUUUAUUUUAGAUGGAUUGAUUUGCUGCCAUUGUUUUACUUUCACAUCUGUGCUGUGCAUGCAAGGAGAUUCCUUGCUGAAUGGCCAUAUCCUCCAAACAUUGUUCUUCAAGAACCUUUGAGGGUGACAGCUAUCCAUUCAGCAUUAAUGGAAGCAGCAUGCGCAGAGAUGUUUUUUUUUUACCACCAUACAGUGUCUUACAGCCUCAGAGUUGAAACCUCAAUGCUUACAUUGCUGGACUUCGCUGCAGCUUCAUCAGAGUGAAGUACAAGGUUGAUUCUACUUUUGAUGGCCUGUUUCUCUCUACCUGUAUGCUCAGGGAAAGACAGUCCUGCAUCACUUCGGAUUUGGUGAGUUUUCUUCGGGAUGGCAAAAAAAAACAAAAACAAAAACAAAAACUUUAAGUUGAAAGUUCAAAUCUAGCAUAAGUCAAUACCAAACCAAAUAAAUGCUCUGAGACAGGUAUUCA